CCAGCCCUUGUGUUCACCGUAAUCGAACUCAAGUAGCUCCGUAACUUCUUCAAACACGCGAUCGGGGUUUGAUGAUUCGAUUCGUUUGAGUUUCGAUCGUUUGACUGAUUCUAAUCGGAGCCAGAAGAGCUCUUGUAUUGAGCUCUCUUCCGUAGAGUCUACUGUUCGUUUACUGAGGUCAAUCAGCUCAAACUCGAACCCUAGAUUUUGAAGCUUUCGUGCUAAUGACUUGAUUUCAUCAACCCAAUUCGAAUCAUCGCUUCCGAUAUAAGAGAAUUUAGAAGUACCCAUGUGUUGAAUUCAGGAUGAAUGCCAUCAAGCAUGAGCUGCAAGGACAAUGUAUGAUCUUCUUCCCAAAGCUCAUCUUCUUUGGAAGCUGUAAAUGGAUACGCUUUACCACCCCAGAUCAGCACCAUAUCCAUGGCGUUCAUGUUCACAACCUUCCCGUUAGUAUCCAUCACCGCCACCAUCGUCUCGCCAUCUCGGUACGGCCACUCUGUUCUUAGGAAAUUCAGUACUGUGGAGCUCAUCAACCAUGGCCGCUUUACUGAGAUACAUGGUAGAGAGUUGGAGGAGAAGUUGAAGGUUUGCUUCUCUUCUUCUGUCCAUUUUUGGGACGUUGGUAUUGGAAUCCAUAAGAUUUCGGUGUUGGUGUUGGAAGGAUGAUCAUAUAGCUGUUGAAGCAGGAAGUGGAAUGGCUCUGUGGGUAAGAGUUCUGGCUUUGAUAAUAGCAGCAGUAUUACCUUUUCUUUCAGGUCAGUUAUAGCUACCUGCCAUUGGAUGAUUAAAUAAUAUUUGAUUUAGAUAGCGUUUAAAAGGUAGUAUAACUGUUCAUGGAAGGUAGAAGAAUCAGCCUAUGUAGCGUCAUACUGAAUGCUGAGAUGUAUGUGGAGGAUGGAACUUUUAAGGAUUUAAAGUAAAUAGAAUAGACAAAAAAAUCCAAAAGAAGUAAAAUUGUAAAAAGAAAAAGGAUGGUUCUUUAUACCUGUCUGGAGUAUUGUUGAAGACGCAAAUCAUCUUGUAAGGAAAAAAGUAGUUGGAGUACCUCUUGGUUGUCUUGAUGAGUCUCCGUGUUAAUGUUCCUAAGCCUUUGAUAGAUUUUUUCCUCUUUAGACAAGUAAACAGAGAAGCAACAUCAGAGAUGAGUAUUGCCUGAAUUUUAGUUGAAGCUGUGCUUUCGGAACAUCUGAAGCUUACCUAUCUGUGUACUGCAUUCUUCUACUUGCUUGCUGAGACCGGUAUGCAUGCUGCGCAACUGAUAUCCCAAACUGGAAAUUUCCCCUGCAGCACUCCUUGAUUCUGUUGCCUGAGUAUUUCAGAGAAUUCCUAGCCAUGAGAAAACUCAAUGUUGAUAUGCUAAUAUGACAGGAACGGUUUCUUUAUGCUGUUUUUCCUUUUGUAGGGGAUCUGCACCUGUUUGGGCUUUUUGAAACAAAAGAAGUGUAGAAAACAAAUGUACCUGUUGGGGCUGCUUGAAAUAAGGUAUCUGCUGCAGGCAAGCAAGUGCGCUUUUGACGACCCAGUAAGUAGCCAGACGGAUUUUAGACAUGGUUUCUCCCACAAGGUUGCUGUCUAGCUUCGCUUGUUUAAACGGUAGCCUUUCAAACUCAGUGAUGCAUUUGGUUACGUCUACCAGAACUUUAAUGAGCAAGCUUAGAGAGUUUAACCAUGGUCUGAACUUGGUUCUCUCCAUAGGCAACUGGUUGAGUGUUGCAAUUGAUGCUGCCACGGGAUCAUUAGAGCCUAGAUGAAUUGGUAGCAAUAGUCCUCCAUAUGUUGCAGCAAGGGCUCCAAGUACUAACACAGCUUUUGCAUCCCAUCUGUAUUCUUUCAGAAGAUCGAACAAAAACAUUGUUCUUGUAUGGAUCUCGUUUUCCCCCGUGCAUGGACAAAGCAUCUGCAACCUCAAGAGUUUCAAGAUCUCCGCUCCCAGGCAUUUUUAUAAGAAGAAUAUAUUUUAGAAGGAAGAGAUGAUCUGUUACCUGAACAGAGAUUCUGGAGAUAGCGUAUGGUAGUGUUUCCUUUGAAUCAAAAACUUCAAUGUUGGUCAUACAAUUCUCUGUCGGAAGCGGCUUAGAAACCUGAAAAUUAAGUGGCAUUUGUUAUUGGCAAGCAUCUAGACAAGUAGAACAAGCCCAAGGGGGUGGAGAGGAGAGCUCACAUCAGUUUCCAGAACAAAGCUCAAGAUGGCUUCUACUUCUUGAAGCAACGUUUUGGAAUCAAUCCAGCGACCGUCUGGAUCAUGUGUACGGAGUAUCUGCUCAACUAUGAUAUCUUCAUUCAGAGAAGAGAUGCUUCUUGUGGAAUUCAUGGUAAUUAAUGGUUGUGUUGAUGUCUUGUCUCUUGGUUUGCGUGAUCAGAUAUAAGUAGGGUCUCUGAAAUUGAAGAUUGUUCAACAAUCUGACAGGAAUCUUGUACAAAGAUAUGAAACAGUAACUUUAUCUUUUCCAUUAUAAAUUCUUCAUUUCUUUUUCA